rnacentral:lncRNA from 1 species
UUUGAGUGUAGUUAAAGGAAAAGAAAAAGAAGUAUGAGAGAGGAAAGGGUUAAAGAGUAGCAAGGAGACGGAUGGUGAAGCUUCUUUGAGGCCAGAGGCAGGAAGUGAUCAGAGACACAGAUGGAAAGGUUAUUUUCACUUUAUGUAUCCACCCACUAACUGGUGUCAGAUACAGUGCUUUUAACAUAGCGUGUGUGCAACACAGAGAUGUGCUGAUUGAUUAAUUGAGGAGAAGAAAGGUACUUUUGAGAUCCAAGAAAAGAUAAAGGGAGGAAUUCAGAGGCUGAUAUGGGAUCUAAAGAGUGACACAAAUCAUGUGAGCUGAGGAGCAAGACAAAUUCAUAAGCUUCACUUUUGGCUACUCUAAAGAAAAUGGCUGCUGUUUUAGUCAAUUUUUAAGAUAAUGAUUUUUUUUUUUAAAGCCAUCUGACUCCUUUGUGCCUUCUACCAGAAUUGAAGUAAUAGGCAAGGCAUUCAGAUAAAACUAUCCCUCCUGGAGGAAGAGACAUGCCAAGAGAACCUUGGCCAGAUGGGAUCUGUAGAAAGGGGCACAGAGGGGCAUUUUGCUUGCCCAGUUUGGAUUUAAAUCAGGUGCCUCCAGGGUAGAAGGCCAGAGCUUUGCCAGUCAAGAGCAGGGGUGUAAGCUGCCGUUGUGUGAAAACAAGUUAAGUUGCUUGGUUCCAGGGAAUGUGUUCCAAGUGUCAUAAAUGCAUCUGUUUAAUAAUGCAUAUCGGUAACUCUUCCAGAAUUUGGGCGCCUUGAGCUGCCUUUGUUUCCUCAUUUCCAGAAAAAUGAACAAGUCCGUGUCUUGACAAAAGCACUAGAUGGCAGCAUAGGACAUCUAUUUAACUGUCUCUCUCCACAGGCUGCUGGAAUUUUGACAGAUACAAAACGCACCACUGCUGUCCCCCAAGCUUCCCAGAAGAAGUAGGAGAGCAGAAGUGGAAAAAUCACUCUAAGGUAGAAAUUUCUAAAACUAUCUUUAUUCAGUUUAUAAUUAAAGUCAAUGGAAAUUUGGAACCACCUAAAAGGAAAAUUUAGAUCUUGUUGUGAGAAUAUUUUAAAUACUAAUGUUCCCCUGCU